CAGCCGCCGCCGCCGACAAUGCCCCGCGCACAUGUGACUCCCGCCGCGCUGACAGCUCCGCGCCCCGCCCCGCCCGCCUGCCCGCCCCGCCCCGCCCCGCCCGCAGCACCGCCCCGCCCCGCCCCGCCCCGCAGCGCGGCACUGAACACCCCACCACCCCGCACACACACCAGGCAGUGCCCAGGUGCUCCGCAAACAGUCUCCUGGAAGAAAUACUUCCCGGAAGAAAGCAGAGCGUUUCUCGGCGGGGCAGGGCAGGGCAGGGGGCUUCUUCCCCUUUUGUUCCCUGCAGGGUCGCAGGUGGGUGCGGAAACACAGUGUCUUGGAGAUGUCGCCGGGCCUGAGCAUCGUCCCUCGAAGCAGCACCCCGACUUUUGGGGGGGAAGGCAACGGUCUCCUCCGCACAGGGAGCUGCUUGUGUCACCUCCGGCCCUGCCGGUGAGCCGGGGCCGGGGCCUGUCGCUGCCACCGCUCCCCCAGAGGUUUGGAUGGCGGCCUUCCCCAUCGCUUCAUUUUUUCUGUCUAGGUUUGGCUACCCGGUCUGUGGGUGAAUACGAAUGAUUCAGGGGCACAUGCAGCGAGGAACAAUCGGGCAGCGUUUAGCAGCACUUCGCAGGCUGGCGCGCUCGGUGUUACUCCACGACACCGAUACGAGGGCGACAGGAACCAGCCGAAGGCCAGGCAGGCAGGAGACCGUUUCGGUCCUUUCCUCACCGUCUGCCACACGCGGCCUCACGAGCUCCUGAUCCCGCUAUGACCACACAAAAUACCCCAAACCGAUCUACCAGCUGAAGGCCAGCUUUUGUCCUCCCUUCUACCCAAGACACUGUCCAUAAGACCCUCGCCCGUCUGCUGGUAGUCUUAUUCCAGUCGUCCUGAUAAGAAAGUUAUUUGGUUUACAGUAACGGGAGGUCCUCAAGAUGUAUCAUCCACAUCCGUUCCCUUCCCGGUCUGCUUGGCCCCCCCAUGCACUUGUAGCCAGCAAAUGUCCCUUGGGGCUGCACCUGGGCCGUAAAUGCCCUCGCGCUCCCCCCGGAGGGCACCGACUUGGAGCAGGCUCAACCUCCGCUCAGCUCCUUUGCCACUGCAGGAAGCUGACGAUGAUAAAGGAGAGUGCAGGCGCAGGGAGCGAGGUGGUGCAAUCCAUGCGGACCACACAUCUAAGAGCGCUCCAGUCACGGUCAGGAUAGAAGACAAGAGGGUCCUACUGGCGAUGCUGUAUUUCCACAAUCUUCUCAGUGUUUGAGAUCAAAAAAGGAAGUUUUCACAGACAAGUGCAAUAAAGAAUGGGCUGCUGGGGUAGAAUGUGAAAUCGAUGCCCAUAAAGCUCAACAAAACCCCACUGAGAUCCUAUGUAUAUGGGUUUCCUUAACGGUAGAAAAACAGAAGCCAGAUCCUGAUGAUAUGCAGCUAUUGUGAGAAAGAAAAGACCCCCAACUCUGUAGCUUUCAAAAGGAAGGUGAUUUGCAGAAAUGGCUUCCAGGUGCACUCCACUGGAGCUAAUCAACAAUCUGGAGGUUUCCAGAGAGAGCAAAUGGUCCAAAAUUGCACAAAUCUGAGACUCAAAUAAGUGUAGCUGACUCCAUGAACAGCACAUGCUGAAUCUCUUCUCUUCAGCAGCAUCGGGUUGUCUGAUCGGAUCUUUUUUAUUCUGCACCAGAAUGUUUUGGACACCGGGGGUAUAUGAUCCGCCCGUGCCUGACAUCCAUCCAGUAACCAGACUGCAAGAUGGAAGGCAGCUGGACUCAAGGUGGACAGCAACAAGUGUAAGGACUUGGAGAACAUCCUUACUGCUAUGGGAAGACUGAAUGGCAGGCUUGAUAUGGGAGCACAAGGGCACGUAGGGGGUCUGUAGAGCCCCAGGUGAACCUUGCUGGGGUGAAGACUCCAAUUUUAAGGGCAUGGGAACCCAAUAUGUAUCAAGUACAUUUUGGACAAACACUUGGAGGAUGGCUAUUCCCCCUUCACAGUCUCUUGCUGCCUCUGUUCCUAAUUCAAAUGCUGAUCUCUCUAUCUCACCUCUACAACAGGUCCCUUUACACUCAUCUCCAACACAGAUUUUACCACCUAACAGUUCAAACCCUCCUUUGAGUUGCCUGCAUCAAUACUCAGGGCCCAGUUCUUAUGGAGGCAUCAGGAGGUACUGUGAUACAAAUAUCACAUUAUGAUAUGCCCAUUAUUCAAAUACCAGUAUUCUCUCUGUAUGAUGGAUGCCUGAACUUCUUCUUAGACCUUCUCUCAAAUCAACAUGGCAUAGAGUGGAAGAACUUUCUGUCCUUUCUAGACUCAAGAGAUUUCUCAAAUCUUCUUUCCAAUCCCAUCUGAAGAUCAGGGGUUGAAUUCCAUCAAAUCCCUAUUCCCUCCUCAUUAAGAACAUGAGAAAAGUGACCUGUUGCCUCUACAGAACAUACUAGUUGUUAUAGUCGGCAGUCACAGGUACAGUAUUCAGAUGCUAAGGCUGAGAGUCACAGGGGUAGAAUUUAUCUAGCCUGACCUCCUAUCCUGACAGCUAUCAAGACUUCUCUUUUAAAUAAAUUAAAAGUUUUCAUGUAUUUCCACACACACAGUUUUUCCAAGUGAAUCAUGGAUCAGCUUCAUUAAAAGGAGAUGCCCCUGCCCACCUCAGUGUGUCGAAACACUAGGAACUUUCAUUCUCUUUUGGAACAGUUUUCAGUGUCUCCGCAUUCACUACCAAGUACACCAGAUUGUAGCCAUGUCAUGGUAUGUGUCUGCCGCUUGAGCCCUCAUGUGUGUUAAUUCAUAGCGUAUUGGUACUUUUAUGCUAAUAAUGUUACCCAUAGGGCGAUUCUUAUGUGAUACUCCUUCUCCAUGCAGUUACCAGCCCAAAAGCACUGAUACAGUUCUGUUGUGUGCUAGCCUACUGCAAUACGACCACAACAGGAUAGUGCAGGCCACUCGUUGCCCUGUUAUGAUCCUAGUAACUUCAAUGCAGUCCAGUGACAUCAGCAAAGUUAUUCUUGUUUUUCACUGGCACUACCAAGAUCAGCAUCUCCGUCAUUCUAAAAGAUGAUAUAACGCUGAACAGUCACAAUUUUAUUUCACUUUACACAGACAAGUUUGUAGCAAGUUUGUUCACAUUGUAUGAAAAGGGAGCAAACUAGAGCUAGACUGAAAUCUCCAUUACGACAUAGCCUGUGUUUUAUAAGCGCCUGCAGUUUCCCUACAAGAGAAAACACCAAAAAAAUUUACAAGAGUAUCUAUGCCAAAACAUACCAGUUUCAUUGACACUGUUUUAAUCAUUUAAGGGCACUGCUGAGGAAAAUGUUCCAAGUCCUAUCCACAUGCUAAAAACAACCCAUCUAACCAGAGACCAGCACAAAUGGGAAAGGUCAGACCUGAACUUCCUCAAAGCUCAGGGUGCUCAGAAAAAGGGUUUUGAAUUCAGGCAUUUACUACUUUCAAGUAUUUCCAGAGAGAUGGGGCCUUCAGUGCUAAGCCAUUUGUGAAAUAGGUCUGUCAGGACCACUCGAACAGCUUCAGUUCUGAGCCUCUAAGAAUCAAAGGUCUGCCCACACCUAGGUGGCUCAUCAGGCUAGCAUGUAUAAGGCACACAUGUCCAUGGCCAACAGGAAUGCAAAACUCUAGAAUUUACAAAACACUUUUCGUAGGCAAGCCUACAAACUUCACUUCGUCAAACGACUGGAUACAAAAAAUCAUGGACUCAAUAUAGGCAUUGGAUUUAUGACACACUACAACCUCCCUGACAUCUGGCUCACCAGGUACCUGCCACACCUGACCUCUUACACUUUCCUUCCCCGCCCCCACCUUUUUCCCUUCCCCUCCCCUACUUUUCUGCCCUUUGCCUUCUUAAUUUCCAGCUAUUUCCUUUUUCACAGACAGCCUCUUUCCUACCUUGAAUUACUAGGACUAUAGAGUCUCCCUGAUUUACCUUUGGUUCACCUGCCUCUGCUUUUUCCCCCCUCCCUUCCCUGCUAUACAUUUUCCUAAUUUCUACCUAUUUACAUUCUCACUGACAUCCUGCUACACUUUUAGCUCCUGUCAUUCCUUGGAGUCUCAGAAGAGCAAAAACUCCCUAUGCCUGAAGAAGGGUGACUGCACCUGAACUCUUGCUAAGGACCUUCUUCCAGCUACUCAGCUGGUCUGAUAAAAGGUAUCACAUCUACUCAAAGAGCCUUGCCUGCCAAGCUCUAGAACUCUUGGUUCAGAGAUGAUACCUUCUAUUAGACCAACUAAGAAAUUAAGCAAUGAAGUAUGGCCAACAGCACACGAGAGUGAUCACUACCCAGUUGCCUUUGAUUCCCCAGCCCAAAAGAACAGCUACACAUUUAGAGCUGGGUGAAGCAGGGACAGCCUUUUGUAAGAGUCCAAAGUGAGGCUCAAACACACACCUCUGAAUCAGCAGCAAAACACUACAACCCACUUUCCCACUGUGUCCCUCUGUCCCAUAAAACAUCUUUUUAAGUGUUUCUUCUCAUAGGAAACCAGUGAAUUUCACCUUUGAAGAGCACUGAAUUUCCUGUGGGAGCGUUAUAUUUUUAAGGUUCUAGGACUGUAUGCUACUAUAAAUGGAUACAUGUACCAGAAAAGAUGAGUUCCCUGCACAGCAGAUCUUAUUUCAAGUCUAACUUUGAGACAUACAGGGCAACUACUGAGAUGUUGUCAAUCAGAAAACAAUGGUAUGAGUUCAGCUGGGAAGACUCACUCCGCGUAGUUCUGCACUUGGGAGGUUUCCCAUCUGUUUUAAUAACAGUGUCAUUUGGGCCACCCUAUGAAGACCUAUUAUAUAAGGACACCACCUGAACUGUGGAGAGGAGCAAGCAGGGGGCUUAAAAGCACUUGGUAAUAAAUUAUUGGCAGCUACGCUGUGGUGAUUUAUGAGAAACACGUCCCAUACCAGGAACAUACUCUGUCACAAUCUCUACUUAUUAGACUCUAAGCCACAGGUUAUACCAGUGGUGCCCGACCUCCAACCUUUGGAGGCUGCAUGAGUGGUACUGGGUCGGUCUGUGGGCCAGAUCCAGUCUCAGGGCCUAUCUGGCACACACCAGAUUGGGCGCCGGUCCCCAUGUACCGAAUUCAGCUGACUGCCUUGGCCCCAGCCCUGUGACUGCCAGCCAGAUCCAGCGCAUGGGGUUAUAUCAUCUGACCCAAAGAACCUGAGAAUUUGGUGGUGGGGGAACAGUGGGGUUGAGUACCUUUGGGUGAUACAAUUGCCUCCUUUACCCUUGAAUCAAAGCACAUAUUUUAAACUGCUUGCCGGUACCAGAAGCACGGGCUAGAAGUUUCCCAAGUAUCUUGCAGAAUCUCUAGAAUAUGGCAGAAGAGAUUUUACAGUCCCCAGGAACCAGGGGCUCCAGAGAGACAUUCUGGCGGAAUCUAGGAGACGCAUAUUAUGUUUCACGUUUAUACAUAUAAACUCCUUGAUCAGAGAUAGCAUUCAUGCAAAGCUCCCUUCCACACACGCACUCACAUAAACACUUGACAUUAUUCUUUCUCCUUAGGAAACAAACUGUGCAAAAGGUUUGCACAUUUGACUGGUCUCACUCAGGAUAUAGUCACAUAUUAAAGAUGUCUUUGACAUGCAUUUAUCAGCACGUAUCAACACGGGAAUCAGAAACAUGACUGCAACGUGUGCGAGCAUACCUGAACUAGCUUCAGUUUAGCUAGCGCAAGGAACAGCUGAGUGAGGAGGCAGCAGUCAGGCUAUCAACAUGGAUAACCAUCCAAGGAAGCACCCAGAGCCUCUGGUGGACUUGUUCAGCCUGCCCUUGCCACCCCUUUCACCUCUACUUUAUCACAUGAGCUCACCGGAUUAAUGCUAAUUCAGGCACAUCUACACAUCCUGAAAUUGCACUUCCUCCUGCAGUGUAAAUAUAGCCCUAGAUAAGUUAACCUUGUUUCCAGAACGUGGCCACUUAACUGUAGGCAGUGCUAGAGUCUGGCCAGGUCCUCACGUUCACAAAUGCUAUUCAGUCCAAAAUAAAGCCAUACUAACAACUGGCAGAAUAUUUCUACAUCUCUAUUAUGGUUUAUAUUUAUCUGAGUGUCAAGCAGGCAGUGCGCAUAUAGAAAAGGCUAAAUAAUGUGCUGCUUCUAUAAAAUUCUCUUAUGUACAAACCCAACCACACAAAAUUAUCUUGAGAUACUAGUGGAAAGAAUGACUCACAGGUCUGAGAAUAGGAUACCAGUCUUUCUUCUGAUUACCAAUCUGAAUAUGGAAGAAUUUCACAGUGAUUGGAAAUCCUUAUCACCCAACAGGUGCUUGGUGACAUGAGUGAAUAAGUUGCUUGUCCAUGUUUAGUUUCUAAUGGGCAAGUGUCAAAAAUUAUAAAACCAAAACCCCACCACGUUCCUAUCUGAAACCCUUGCUUGCAGUCUCAGAAGAGGUCAGAAGCAUAUGGGCUGGUUUAAUGACCCUCUGUUGAACUGAUACUCCCUAAGACAGGGUCUACACAAAUUGCCUAAAUUGGCAAGGAAAUUUUCACUGGCUAUCUCUCAGCAUCACCUCUGUGUGUGUUAUGGACUUCAUCAUAGAUGAAUUAGGCAAAUUUUCACCACCACUAAAUUCACUUCAAACAUUUCAGCCUGGUUCUGAAAAGCCCAAUCACAUUGACCAGGACUUUCUUACAUAAAGAAGUCCCAUUAAACUGAGUGGGGCUGCUCUCACGGACAAGCACUACUCAAUAAUGGUACAGAAUUAUGCCAAAAUAUGGCUGAAUACUUCCAAAACAUUAUUUCAGAAAACACCUAGAGCAUUUAUUAACAUGCAUAGCAACUUCUCAGAACCCCCUUUUUAAGAUGAUGUAUGCAUUAAAAUUAAACACUGACUACCAUUUUAUUAGCAGAUGCAUUUAUUUCUGUUCACUUGUAGGGUACUAAUUUCACACAUGAUUGAGUUUAAAUACUAACCUGUUUUCCAUUUCACUAUUACAAAAUGUGUGUCAAAAAUAAGAAAUCUCUGUCCUUUAUAAAAAAUAUAUUCUUUUUAGGAAAAAUAAAUAAUGUUUAUUCUACCGAUUAUGUGCAUAUUCACUACUUACAGAAAAAGAAUAAAACUUGGAAGAAAAGUAGUAGAAGCUUUCUGGAAUGAUGCUGUAUGAUGUCCUAAGAAAACUAAAAAAUAAC